rnacentral:rRNA from 1 species
CCUUAACCUACUAAAUAGUGGUGCUAGCAUUUGCUGGUUCUUCCACUUCUUAGAGGGACUAUCGAUUUCAAGUCGAUGGAAGUUUGAGGCAAUAACAGGUCUGUGAUGCCCUUAGACGUUCUGGGCCGCACGCGCGCUACACUGACGGAGCCAGCGAGUCUAACCUAGGCCGAGAGGUCCUGGUAAUCUUGUGAAACUCCGUCGUGCUGGGGAUAGAGCUUUGUAAUUUUUGCUCUUCAACGAGGAAUUCCUAGUAAGCGCAAGUCAUCAGCUUGCGUUGAUUACGUCCCUGCCCUUUGUACACACCGCCCGUCGCUAGUACCGAUUGAAUGGCUUAGUGAGGCCUCAGGAUCUGCUUAGAGAAGGGGGCAACUCCAUCUCAGAGCGGAAAAUCUGGUCAAACUUGGUCAUUUAGAGGAACUAAAAGUCG